UACCAUCCAAUCUGAAUCAUUAGUUUUACCCUAGGUUCUCUCUCUCUCUCUCGUCUCGAGUCCUUGACUCUAUCACCGGAGACUGGACCUCAAACUCAAUUCUCUCUUGCCGUCAAGCGUGCGUCAUCCCCACCCAUAUUCUCAAUUCUCCUUAUCUCCUUCUUAACGACAUCACCGCCGUUGCAACAUCAUAGGGAUGAGUUUGUGGUCGUCUGUGUGCAACCGAAGUCCAACUUUCGUAUUCCUUUUAGAGAUGUUGCAGCCGUCUUCGAAGGAAUCUCAUACCUCUGCUAUUAUUCCUCACCGAAUUUGGGCUGGACAUACCUUUUGGAGAAAUCAAUGAAUGAAAUUGACACGAGAAGAAUCAGAGAAAAUCAUGAAGAUGAAUCAUUCAAUGAAUCGCCAUAUACCCAGAGACCAUGAAAAGAAAAGAUGCGAGGCAGAGCAAAAGACGCAAACCCGGCGAAUAUAACGGUUUAUCUAGACGAAAUCAAAGAACAAGUUGGCCCAAAAGUUGGUGAGUCUCUCUCUUACUCCACAGCCAAUGCAAAUACAUACAAAACAUGACCAUUACAAUAAGAAUGAAAAUAUUUAAAUGAAAGGCUUUUGUUUAUAUCAUCAACAUAGUUUUGCUUUUAAAUAUUAGAAACUUAUUAUUUGAAGGUUAAGUUAUGGAAACAUGCUCAAUAGAUGUGUUUCCUAUGUUUUCAGAACUUAAUCCAGACAAGUGGGUUGAAUUUAAGUUGCAAGAUAUUGCAAGGGUUAGCCACAAUACACAGUUAUUUAGGUAUAUCUGUAAUAUCAUACAUCUGUUUUCAUUUUCUUUUUCUAAUUUGGUUAUUAUGCUUGCCUAGUGUUAUGUGUGAUCUGUGUUCAAUCUAUGCAAUCUGUGCAGCUCCUGUUUUUUUUUCUUCAAUUUGUGCUGAUGUGCAGUUGUUGUAAAAAAAUCAAUCUAUGUUGUUGGAAUUUGGACAUCUCAGAUUCUCGAAUAUUUUGUAUGUUGAUUUGAUCUUUAGAUGUCUCUCGGAUGUUAUUUUGAAUGUCUCGGAUUUAAUGUAUUGAACGAUGUUGGACGAUGUAAUGUUGUUAUUUUGAAUGUAUUGUUAAUCUAUG
rnacentral:sRNA from 1 species